rnacentral:rRNA from 1 species
UGGAUCCAGACUUUGAUUAUGGCUCAGGAUGAACGCUAGCUACAGGCUUAACACAUGCAAGUCGAGGGGCAGCAUGACCUAGCAAUAGGUUGAUGGCGACCGGCGCACGGGUGAGUAACACGUAUCCAACCUGCCGAUUAUUCCGGGAUAGCCUUUCGAAAGAAAGAUUAAUACUGGAUAGCAUAACGAGAAGGCAUCUUCUUGUUAUUAAAGAAUUUCGAUAAUCGAUGGGGAUGCGUUCCAUUAGUUUGUUGGCGGGGUAACGGCCCACCAAGACAUCGAUGGAUAGGGGUUCUGAGAGGAAGGUCCCCCACAUUGGAACUGAGACACGGUCCAAACUCCUACGGGAGGCAGCAGUGAGGAAUAUUGGUCAAUGGACGAGAGUCUGAACCAGCCAAGUAGCGUGAAGGAUGACUGCCCUAUGGGUUGUAAACUUCUUUUAUAUGGGAAUAAAGUGCAGUAUGUAUACUGUUUUGUAUGUACCAUACGAAUAAGGAUCGGCUAACUCCGUGCCAGCAGCCGCGGUAAUACGGAGGAUCCGAGCGUUACCCGGAUUUAUUGGGUUUAAAGGGAGCGUAGGCGGAUUAUUAAGUCAGUUGUGAAAGUUUGCGGCUCAACCGUAAAAUUGCAGUUGAUACUGGUAGUCUUGAGUGCAGCAGAGGUAGGCGGAAUUCGUGGUGUAGCGGUGAAAUGCUUAGAUAUCACGAAGAACUCCGAUUGCGAAGGCAGCUUACUGGACUGUAACUGACGCUGAUGCUCGAAAGUGUGGGUAUCAAACAGGAUUAGAUACCCUGGUAGUCCACACAGUAAACGAUGAAUACUCGCUGUUUGCGAUAUACAGCAAGCGGCCAAGCGAAAGCAUUAAGUAUUCCACCUGGGGAGUACGCCGGCAACGGUGCAACUCAAAUGAAUUGACGGA